AUUGAACGCUGGCGGCAUGCCUUACACAUGCAAGUCGAACGGUAACGGGCCUUCGGGUGCCGACGAGUGGCGGACGGGUGCGUAAUACAUCGGAACGUGCCCGAUCGUGGGGGAUAACGAGGCGAAAGCUUUGCUAGUACCGCAUACGAUCUACGGAUGAAAGCAGGGGACCGCAAGGCCUUGCGCGGACGGAGCGGCCGAUGGCAGAUUAGGUAGUUGGUGGGAUAAAAGCUUACCAAGCCGACGAUCUGUAGCUGGUCUGAGAGGAUGAUCAGCCACACUGGGACUGAGACACGGCCCAGACUCCUACGGGAGGCAGCAGUGGGGAAUUUUGGACAAUGGGCGCAAGCCUGAUCCAGCCAUGCCGCGUGCAGGAUGAAGGCCUUCGGGUUGUAAACUGCUUUUGUACGGAACGAAAAGCCUUCUUUUAAUACAGGAGGGUCAUGACGGUACCGUAAGAAUAAGCACCGGCUAACUACGUG
rnacentral:rRNA from 1 species